AGUGAACGCUGGCGGUAGGCCUAACACAUGCAAGACGAACGGCAGCACAGUAAGAGCUUGCUCUUACGGGUGGCGAGUGGCGGACGGGUGAGGAAUACAUCGGAAUCUACUUUUUCGUGGGGGAUAACGUAGGGAAACUUACGCUAAUACCGCAUACGACCUACGGGUGAAAGCAGGGGAUCUUCGGACCUUGCGCGAUUGAAUGAGCCGAUGUCGGAUUAGCUAGUUGGCGGGGUAAAGGCCCACCAAGGCGACGAUCCGUAGCUGGUCUGAGAGGAUGAUCAGCCACACUGGAACUGAGACACGGUCCAGACUCCUACGGGAGGCAGCAGUGGGGAAUAUUGGACAAAGGGCGCAAGCCUGAUCCAGCCAUACCGCGUGGGUGAAGAAGGCCUUCGGGUUGUAAAGCCCUUUUGUUGGGAAAGAAAAGCAGCAGGUUAAUACCCCGCUGUUCUGACGGUACCCAAAGAAUAAGCACCCGCUAACUUCGUG
rnacentral:rRNA from 1 species